rnacentral:lncRNA from 1 species
CUUCUUCUUGAACCUCACCUCGAUUUGUAUCUUCCUCAUUGUGGCUCACUCCCUGAGGCUGCUGGGUGCAGAGUGGAUGGACGUCGAAGCCGCAAGGCUGGCAUUGGUAAAACAUCCCCUUGGUUGUUUCUUUGCAGAUGUCGCACCAACGUCCGUCCUGGUGGACUAACCGGAGCUCGUGCUGUGGAUGAAGACUGCUUCGGAGGGUAGGGGGACACGUGGCACAAUACUCGUGAAGAUCGUAGUUGCAAGAGGCGCAACGGUAGGUCCUCCCAAAGCCGUAAGUUUCGCAGCCAUCGCAUAUGUACCUGCCAACCCCGUCAACUUUCGUUAAUGGAUGGAUAUGGUGGGCUACUUCUUCCGCUUUCGAAGGAGACAUAUCUCAAUAUUUAUGUUUAUGUUCUUUCUUUCUUUCUUUUGCUUCUUGGGAAUGGUAGGACUUGAGAGAACAAACCUGGAUAUAUAUAUAUAUAUAUGUCUGAAAUGGUGAUCAAGUGGCAACUCAUUGAAAUGAAGAAAUAGCGAGGAAGGAUAGUCCAACCAGAGAAACCAGAACGAGUCAGCUCUGGUGGUAAAGGGGUUGCGGCUGUAACUUCCGCCACCCGGGUUCGAUUCGUGCUGGGAGGGACUAUUUACAUUGCUUGGGUUCCCGGCAAAGAGGUGAAACACACCUUUUUUAUAUUCAAAAAAAAGAUAGUCCAACCAGAGACGUACUCAACAAUACGUGUAAGAGCAUGAUUAUCCCUAGAAACCAAUAAGGUUUCUUAAGUACACUUUAAUGAAUAUUUAAUUAUUAAAUUUUAGCUACCUCACCUCGAUUUGUAUCUUCCUCAUUGUGGCUCACUCCCUGAGGCUGCUGGGUGCAGAGUGGAUGGACGUCGAAGCCGCAAGGCUGGCAUUGGUAAAACAUCCCCUUGGUUGUUUCUUUGCAGAUGUCGCACCAACGUCCGUCCUGGUGGACUAACCGGAGCUCGUGCUGUGGAUGAAGACUGCUUCGGAGGGUAGGGGGACACGUGGCACAAUACUCGUGAAGAUCGUAGUUGCAAGAGGCGCAACGGUAGGUCCUCCCAAAGCCGUAAGUUUCGCAGCCAUCGCAUAUGUACCUGCCAACCCCGUCAACUUUCGUUAAUGGAUGGAUAUGGUGGGCUACUUCUUCCGCUUUCGAAGGAGACAUAUCUCAAUAUU